CAUGUGCAAGUUGCCGAACUACUUUUGAAAGAAGAAGCUAAGCUGGAUGUUGCUGAUUCAUAUGGCUCUCAGCCUCCCUUUAAGAAGGUGAAUCAGAUAAUUGCAAGAACUUCUUUAUUUGUCAGUGAGCAUGGUGGACAAUCAGAGAUUGUGUUAAGGGUGAAGCAAGGAAGUAGCCCAACAUUUGGAUUCUUGAUGCUUGACCAUCAUCUCCGCAGCUACUUCUGGUACAUUGUUGAUCAUCCUCAGCUAUUGAAAGAUGGCUCAGACGCUGACACCAAUAACGUCAACAAGACUGUUAUGAGGGAUAGUGAGCAUGCCGCUUCAUCAGGUGGAGCUUUUCAUUGCUUGGAUCCAUCUACGAGUCUGGAGAUGAGGAUGACGAUGUGCUUCCAUCUUUAUUGAAAAGCACUGAUCAUGGAAAGGACGUUGUUUUACAUGAGAAAGGCCACAAAGGGCGUGCAUCCCGAAAAUGAGUAAAUAGUAGCAAAAGAAGCUUUGACUGCUCACCAGGAAAAGGUAAAAGAGUUGACCACUUCUACCAAGUCCGAGAACUCUAAAUUAAGUGUAUUUGGCACAAACGAAGUGAUUCUGGAACCACCAUCGUUUAUAAAGGGCACAGUGGAGAAAAUUGUCGAGAUUAUUCUCAGGAACCGAAAGGAGUUUGAAGAAAAGCUCAUUGCGCAAGAAAGGAUGACAAGGAGGUUUCCAUUUCCUCUGCCCAACAAUCCAUAUCAUUCUUACUAUCUCAAGAUUCUCCAAGAAACCCAAGAGGUGGUUUAAUUGGGCUAAACAGAUGCAAUUCGGAACUUUUAUUUGACUAAACGUUUGUCAGGGCAUGUCAGCGGUGGGCGUGGGCAUGAGCCCGGUGUCGCUCAGAGUGCAAGAGUUCCAGGAGGACUUGCUUUGGGCUCGCGGCCGCAUGCACAGGCUGCGGGAGCGUUGCGAAGGAGGAGCACGACCUCGAGCCCGCUGCGCGAGAUGACGAUUACAUCAGCCCGAGGAUCUACAUGUGUGAGGAGCCCUGCGCCACCACACUACACCACAUCUGCCACAUGGAAGACCAUAAUAUUAGGCUGACCUCACCGCUUUUAGGGACGAAAGCCGCUGGACGAGAUGGUUCUUCAGUGUUAAUAUUGGUCGGUUGAUUUGGCCACGGUCUGUCAAACUGGUGGUUACUAAUUAACCUAAGAAAAAGGGAACAUCUAGGGAUGUGACUGACUACACUAGGAUCCCGCGUGAUUUAUUUUUUAUCUAUAGAUCGAUUUCACUAAUUAAUGAUAGAAAGAGGGCUCAUUCAUAUGUUGUGCUUCAAGCUUAAAAAUAUUUUCUAUUUUGAGUUAGUAUCUUGGUAGUACUCAGCUCUGUAUAGACUCCAUAUGCAGAUUGUAUUUUUCUGUAGGUAAAUAAAAUAGAGAUAUGUAUAUGUUCUCCCAAAGCUUAGUGGUAAUGUUUGUUUUUCAUUUGUGAACUA